GUAGGCGUAGCUUAACGCAGAGCAGCGGUCUCCAAAACCGCAAGAUGAAGGUGCAAGUCCUUCCGCCUGUGCCA
rnacentral:tRNA from 1 species